rnacentral:rRNA from 1 species
UACGUAGGGGGCAAGCGUUGUCCGGAUUUAUUGGGCGUAAAGAGCGUGUAGGCGGCCUGGAAGGUCAGCUGUGAAAACUCGAGGCUCAACCUCGAGACGUCGGUUGAAACCAUCUGGCUAGAGUCCGGAAGAGGAGUGUGGAAUUCCCGGUGUAGCGGUGAAAUGCGCAGAUAUCGGGAAGAACACCCGUGGCGAAGGCGGCACUCUGGGACGGUACUGACGCUGAGACGCGAAAGCGUGGGGAGCGAACAGGA